AUAGCAAUUUAUGAAGAAAAUAAGCGUAGUGCAAAUCCACAUUUGUCUUUACCUGUUACACUUUCAUAUUGUGCAACCCGCCACGACCCGAUGCAUCCCCAUUAUGACAGCGCGAGGAGGUAUGGUCCAAAACUGAGUGACGAAUCUGACGUCCCAACGACACACAAAGCCAAGAAAGCACAACAACGAAAUUAAAGAAUCAGUUUUUAAAUUAGGUGUAAAAUAGUGGAAGUCAUCCGUAUGGAUAACCAAUUAUGAACACAUCACUGGUUGGGAAAUUUCCCUUUUUCAGAAGCGCGUUUGAGUUCAAACUGUUGCCUGUUCGGUAGAAUCUUGUGCCACGUUACGCUACCUUGCAUUUAUUUCAAAAUCAGUUCACAGUCAUUUCUGGUAUAGAAGCCAGUCAAAAACUGUUCUUGUACCGAGAUCAGAAGUGCCCUAAGUAGGACAGGCGAGACUAAUAUAGUUUCCUGCACUUCUAGGAACAGUAUUCCCGAGCCUCUUACUACCAUCGAAUAUCACAGAUAGGUCACUAGACUUUGUCUGGGGACUCAUUGGUAACAGAGCAAUAUGCUAAAGAGGCAGCUAGUUUUUUGUAUGCUCUAAAAAUAAUGAGAAGGAAAACAAUUGCCAAGCGAGUUCUCGACUGCGAACACGAAGAUGAACGAGAGGAGGACCAAAAACAUGACAUCGACGAUAGGAAAUUGCAAAGCGAGCUCUCAUGUCACGAGCUGAAGAAGAGAAGAAAGCAUGUGUACCCCACAAAAGAGUGCGCCGAGGAAAAUUCACCCCACGCUGCUGACAUCCUGAAGUUGAAAACGAGGGCCUUAGAGUUUGACAGCGCUGGCGUGGAGCGCUCG